UUGUACAGUACCUUAGUGGAAUUAAAUAUUUAAGCACGUGGAGCUGUGGUAUCAACAUCCGUAUGGUGCAAAUAGUUUUUCAGCCCAGCUGGACUCAGCCACGUUACCUAAGUGACCUGAAAAAGGUAAGAUCAUGGUUUAUUUUUAAAGGAUUCUCUUCACUGAAGGAAAAUAAACUGUUCUGGUGGGCCCUGUCUUUCCUACUCUCUGUAGGCACACGGAAGCUGCAACGUGUUGGGAACGUGCUUGUGCUGGGGCACAACUGCAGUUGAGUAGGUAGGGAAUUAUGUCAGGAAUCUGAAGUUUGGCCUGGAGAUUCCCUCUCACUCCACUAUAGAAGGAACAAACUUGUUUCCUCAAAAAAGGAAUCCACAAAGUACCUUUUUUUUUUAAGGAACAGGCUCCCCUCGAUGCUGGUCAGCAGAGCAUUUCCCAAAAGCGGUUGGCACGAGACCUCCAGUGACAAGACAUGAUGGCCCAGGGCUAUAGAAAAGCCAAACAAACCCAUGCUUUGAGCUGAGUUAUGUCUGUCUGCUGGUCAGACAGUUGCUCUUUAUGGUCUGAAUAAGAGGGCACAGUGACAGAGGAAAUGCUGAGUCCAAAGGAGAGCUGCAGCUUCUGGGAGACAGCACAUCUGUUAAAAGCAGGAGCAGUGACGUGGUUCGCGCUCAGUGUCUGGAGGAGAGUACAGCAACCUAAAAUUGGUUUCUGGUGAGCCAUUCUUACAGCAGCAAAAAUGCAGUUCAGGUGAGAGCUGGAAGAGGGUUAAGAUAAUGGAAGCGUUAUCUAUUACACGUCGAGAAAACAUCAGAGCCAAACCCAUCGAAGCCUUUAUAUGGACAUUGCAUGUGGCUGCCUGUUUGCCAUUUGUUUCCUAAAUUUCCCCUAAUUUGCUGUGCAGCAAACAUUCACCUUGGUUAAUAGGGCUCAGCUCAGCAAUAUCCAGCAGAACCGCGGCGUUUCCUGGCUCCGGCCACGGAGGCUCUGCAGGAUUUUCGCUGCUCAGGUGUUGCAAAGCCUAAUCCUUAUUCAGGAACCAAAAUGAUCCACUUUCCUUGCCUGCGGUGCUUGGAUCCCUGCCUUUGGCAGUAGCCCCAGACUCCUGCAGAAGAUGAAGACAUCCCUCCAUGCCUAUAGAUGGAAAGGCGCCAACAUGGAUGCCAUCAGAAGGACGCAGCUGAGCAUAUGCUGAGAAAAUUGUGGCAUCCAUACUGUACAUGGGGAAGGGCUGACUGAACACACCAGUUUGUUGAAGCUUAUGGCCCUGAAAAGGAAACAUAGGUUUCCUGUAAAUGUCAUUCAGGGAUAUGCUAACUGUUAUUUCCUGGCGCUGGAUCAUGAUGCUUUCAACACAUUCUGUUCAUCUACCUCUGCUGCCUGCCUGCCUGGCUGUGCACAGCGAUAGCUCUCCUGUCUUCUCACCUUUCCCUCCUCCCUGUGCAAGGCUAAGCCUUCAGGUGCUGUGUUUUGGGGUGGAAGUGUCAAGCAAGCAGGAUGGUGCAUCAAGGAGAGGCAGAGUCAGGCAGUGCUGCUGCGUCUGUGCGUGAGCGACGGCGGCUCAGCAUCACCGCCCACCUUCAAGUGGUACCUGGGCCUGGCUGCACCUCCCUCCAGUGCACAGCAAUCAAAGGA